UACGAAGGGGGCUAGCGUUGCUCGGAAUUACUGGGCGUAAAGGGCGCGUAGGCGGUCGUGUGCGUCAGAGGUGAAAUCCCCGGGCUUAACCCGGGAGCUGCCUCUGAUACGGCAUGGCUUGAGUCCGGGAGAGGAGAGCAGAAUUCCCAGUGUAGCGGUGAAAUGCGUAGAUAUCAGGAGGAACACCGGUGGCGAAGGCGGCUCUCUGGACGGUGACUGACGCUGAGACGCGAAAGCGUGGGGAGCAAACAGG
rnacentral:rRNA from 1 species